rnacentral:lncRNA from 12 species
AUGUGGAAGGGAAAGUUAAAACAUUCUUCAGUGAGAAUUAAUGCUUCGGUCAUAUUCUCCAGAGCUUUGCAAGGUUUUCCCUCAGAAGUGGCACAUGGGCUCUACCUCUCCUGUCCUGCUUGUGCACCUUCUGCCCUACGUGACCAAGAUCCUGCUCUGCACCCCUGGGAGGGUUUUGUAUUUUUUGUUUACAUGGUGGAUCUUGAUGAACCUCUGAGCUCAAGGCAAUAUGAUCUCCUAUCCCUCUCCUCCCUGAGGGAUGCAGGGGGACUGAAGGAGCAGCUGCUUAGAGAUUCCUGGCAGAGAAUCUUGCCCUUGGCACUCUGACUCAAGGCACAUGAUUGUGUAACACACCCACUGGCGUGGAUGUUACGUGGCUUGUUUGCAAAUCCUGGCAACUUCAGCUGAGAGGUGCCGAGUGCUUGCAACGUCCAGCAGGAUCCUCUUGGUGACCUUUGUGAAGAGUGUCACAUCUUUAGUGCCAGCAGCAGACUGCUAGCAUGACCAGGAGGUAAAUGUAAUAGUAGCCACCAGUUUCUCAAAGAGCAGCUGAAAAAUGACAGAGCCAAACUCUCCUUGCUGGUGGGAGAUGGCAUAAUAAGAGGCAAAGAUCACAAACUGUGGCUUGGGACAUUGGGAAAAACUUUGUCAUGGGGAUAACGUGCAGCCCUGGGGCAGAUCACUAGAGGGAUUGGGGGGACCUCCAUCCUUGGAGGGGGAUCAAGCUUCUGCUGGACAAAGCCACAGCAGAUUUAGCAUUGGCAAUCAUCCAAGAGGAUGGGAUAGAGAGUGACUUCCAAAGGUCCCUCCCAGCCAAAUACUCAUGGGAUGACAAUCUCCUUGCUGGCUGUGGGAAGAUUUAAGGCAGAGCCUGUGGAUCUGUAACUGUGGGUCUGAGUGUGCAGUGGGAGGGAGGAAAACCCAAAUGGCAGCAGGUGGCCAGCUGGCUCCCAGGCAGCUUUCAUGCUGUUCCACCUCCAAGUGACCCUUCCAGCCUUUCUCCAGACACAGGCCAGCUGCAAGGACAGCUCCGUGGUGUGAAAAUACUCCUUGCAGCAGGGAAUCCACUAAAGAUACAGACAGACUUUUGCCCACUUCUAAUGUUUUCAUGGGGGGCAGGGGGAGGAAAGAGCUGAAGAGCCUUGUGGCCAGUGAGCCUGAUUUUCUGUGCUAGUUAAAAACUGGUGUGAAAGCCCAAGUGUUGAUUAAAACCCAUAUGGUCCAUAUGUCCAUAUCUUAUCUACAUCUGUCCAGAACAUAUGCAGAUGUACUUGCUUAAAGUUUGUGCAGAGAUGUGACAUUAACUUCUAUAGCUGCUCAAGGCUGCAGUAACUGAGAAGCUGUAUUACCUCCAGGAAUGGAAUGCCAUCCCUAGAGGCAUGUAGCACAG